rnacentral:tRNA from 2 species
CAAGGCGUAGCUAUAAUACCAAAGCAUUCAGCUUACACCUGAAAGAUGUCUACUCGCCCUAGACCGCCUUGA